rnacentral:misc_RNA from 1 species
CUGAACAGGGCAAGUGAGGAGCAAGCACAAGUUGGGAUCAUUUAGCCAUAGAGUUUUAAUCCGUAAAGCAAAAUUAAUCAAAUUUAAUUAAUUAUUUUUUUAAUGAGAUCAUUUUAUCAAUUCUUUGAAUAAUUUGCACUUGGAGGCUACAUCUCACAGGAUUGAUGGCUUCAUUGCAAUUUGGGCUAAGAUUACUUUUUUCUUUUCUUUUCUAUUUCUCUUCCUUUUCUUCUUGAAGUGAUCAGUAAUAAACAAAAACAAGCAAAAACUCAUUAAAUGGAUUUCUUUCUUUGUAUUGUUUCAGUGCACUAGUUUUGUGUGUGUAAAAUGGGGAAGAUGAGAUGAGGUGAGAAGAGAGUGAUGGUGAUGCAAUGAAAGAUUUGGAGAAGACGGAUGAAAAGCAAGGGCAAUAAGGUCAUUUCAUCUUCAACUGACAACACUUUUUGACAAAAAGACCUUCAUUUUGACAGAAUGAAACUAUAGAGACCAAACCAUUGACUUUUAAAGGAUAUAUAUGUCAUUUUUGACAUACCUCAGGGACUAAAAAGUAAUUUACCUAAAAAAAUUUAAAAAAGAAAGUUUCCACAUGCCUAAAGCUAAACAAAACCAAAUGACUGUUAUUGUUGUGCAUAAAUAUGCAUUUUCUACUCCUAUUUCACUUUUUCCCCUAAGCUAACAAUGAACUUACGACACAGUUAGAAGGUAUCUUCUUCCACCAACACUCUUUUCCCUCUUCCUUCUUAUCUUUUUCUUUAUUUUCUCCAUUAAGUACAGCUAAUUAGCUAUUGUUGUCACAUCACAACAUUUUAUGCCCAUCUUAUAUGGGCCAUCUAUUGUGAUUUUCAGCCAUACUUUUUUCACCUUUUAUUUUUAGGUCCUAUUGUGAACAUGGUAUAGCCACAAGUCAUCAAAACUAAGGGUUGGCUUCAUGAAGCAAACAGAUCAUUCAUAGAUAAACAAACAGUAUAGGUUUUCAACUUUUAUGGCAUAUGGCUAGAUGAUAUGGAACAUAAAUAUUUUAAUAAAACGAAUACAACAUGGUAAUACAUUAUUUUAUGUUUUUUUAAUUCAUAUAUGCAUUUGUAUUCUAGAAGAAUGGAUCACGGUAGGGUUUGGACUUACAUUUCCUUUAGAAUCAAGCACAAGUCUAAUUGGCCAUAUGAUCACUCUGUCUCAUAUUUUGUGUGUUUUAAUAGAUAUACAUCGUUCUUAAUCAAUUUUGAGAAUUCAUACCAAAUCUAACAAUAUGAUUCAAUUCUUGAUUCACAAAAUAAGGAUUUUAAAACUUGAUUUGACAAAUAUGGUUCUAACUAUCACUUUUAAAUAGGGGCGAGAGAGAGAGAGAGAGAGAG